rnacentral:rRNA from 1 species
GAUGAACGCUGGCGGCGUGCCUAAUACAUGCAAGUCGAGCGAACGGACGAGAAGCUUGCUUCUCUGAUGUUAGCGGCGGACGGGUGAUUAACACGUGGAUAACCUACCUAUAAGACUGGUAUAACUUCGGGAAACCGGAGCUAAUACCGGAUGAUAUUUUGAACCGCAUGGUUCAAAAUUGAAAUACGGUCUUUCUGUCUCUUAUAGAUGGAUCCGCGCUGCAUUAGCUAGUUGGUAAGGUAACGGCUUACCAAGGCAACGAUGCAUAGCCGACCUGAGAGGGUGAUCGGCCACACUGGAACUGAGACACGGUCCAGACUCCUACGGGAGGCAGCAGUAGGGAAUCUUCCGCAAUGGGCGAAAGCAUGACGGAGCAACGCCGCGUGAGUGAUGAAGGUCUUCGGAUCGUAAAACUCUGUUAUUAGGGAAGAACAUAUGUGUAAGUAACUGUGCACAUCUUGACGGUACCUAAUCAGAAAGCCACGGCUAACCACGUG